rnacentral:misc_RNA from 1 species
AACCAUAGAAACCUGCGGAGUACCUGCGGAGGGAUCAUUACCGAGUUUACAACUCCCAAACCCCUGUGAACAUACCACUUGUUGCCUCGGCGGAUCAGCCCGCUCCCGGUAAAACGGGACGGCCCGCCAGAGGACCCCUAAACUCUGUUUCUAUAUGUAACUUCUGAGUAAAACCAUAAAUAAAUCAAAACUUUUAACAAUGGAUCU